rnacentral:tRNA from 1 species
GGGCAGGUGGCCGAGUGGUUAAAGGCGACAGACUGUAAAUCUGUUCUCUUCGGAGUACGAUGGUUCGAAUCCGUCCCUGCCCACCA